rnacentral:sRNA from 1 species
GCCGGGUGCGGUGGUGCACGCCUGUAAUCCCAGUGUUUUGGGAGGUUGAGGAAGGAGAAUUGUGAGUUCAAAGCCAGCUUCAGCAAAAGUGAGGUGCUAAGCAACUCAGUGAGACCCUGUCUCUA